GACGAACGCUGGCGGCGUGCUUAACACAUGCAAGUCGAACGGAAAGGCCCUGCUUUCGUGGGGUGCUCGAGUGGCGAACGGGAGAGUAACACGUGAGUAACCUGCCCUUGCCUUUGGGAUAACUUCAGGAAACUGGGGCUAAUACCGGAUAGGAGCUCCUGCUGCAUGGUGGGGGUUGGAAAGUUUCGGCGGUUGGGGAUGGUCUCGCGGCUUAUCAGCUUGUUGGUGGGGUAGUGGCUUACCAAGGCUUUGACGGGUAGCCGGCCUGAGAGGGUGACCGGCCCCAUUGGGACUGGGAUGCGGCCCAGACUGCUACGGGAGGCAGCGGUGGGGAAUAUUGCACGAUAGGCGGAAGCCUGAUGCAGCAACGCCGCGUGCGGGAUGACGGCCUUCGGGUUGUAAACCGCUGUCGCCUGUGACGAAGCGUGAGUGACGGUAAUGGGUAAAGAAGCACCGGCUAACUACGUG
rnacentral:rRNA from 1 species